CAAUCAGAGAGCGCGAUCCAGCGCGAUUACAUUUAAAUUUAUUUACGUUCGAAAUUCACUUACUUCUUGUGAAUCAAUUUCAUUCAGAAGUAAAAUAAAUGGCGCAUCACAAAAUAAACUUUUCGUGCGGAUUUCUUUGCUGUUGGACCAAGAAAAAGCAGCGUGACAUCGCGGCUACUGAAGGAGCGGCGGAUGAUCAAGUUACAAAGAAGAAACCCCAGAAGAAGAUUAUCAAGUUUGGACGGAAGUUUCCAUGGGUGAAACGUGUGAAGUCGAGAGCAAAGGAGAGCUCAGACGACGAUGGACAUGUGUCAGUUGACUGCAGGGACUCUGGAGACAGCGACAAUCUCACGAGCAGCCAGAGUCCNAUUUGCUAUAUCACUGU